CCUACGGGAGGCAGCAGUGGGGAAUAUUGCUCAAUGGGGGAAACCCUGAUGCAGCGACGCCGCGUGAGUGAAGAAGUCUCUCGGUACGUAAAGCUCUAUCAGCAGGGAAGAAAAUGACGGUACCUGACUAAGAAGCCCCGGCCCACUACGUGCCAGGAGCCGGGGUUAUACGUCGGGGGCCAGCGUUAUCCGGAUUUACGGGGUGUAAAGGGAGCGUAGACGGGAGCACAAGUCUGGAGUGAAAUCCCUGGGCUUAACCCCGGAACUGCUUUGGAAACUGGGCGGCUUGAGUGCUGGGGGGGUAGGCGGAAUUCCUGGUGUAGCGGUGAAAUGCGUAGAUAUUAGGAAGAACACCGAUGGCGAAGGCGGCUUACUGGACUGUAACUGACGUUGAGGCUCGAAAGCGUGGGGAGCAAACAGGAUUAGAUACCCUUGUAGUC
rnacentral:rRNA from 1 species